UACAGAGGGGGCGAGCGUUGUUCGGAAUUACUGGGCGUAAAGGGCGCGUAGGCGGCCUGCUAAGUCGAACGUGAAAUCCCCGGGCUCAACCCGGGAACUGCGUCCGAUACUGGUGGGCUUGAAUCCGGGAGAGGGAUGUGGAAUUCCAGGUGUAGCGGUGAAAUGCGUAGAUAUCUGGAGGAACACCGGUGGCGAAGGCGGCAUCCUGGACCGGCAUUGACGCUGAGGCGCGAAAGCUAGGGGAGCAAACGGG
rnacentral:rRNA from 1 species